UCCAAGUUGACCCCGGCAGUCUCCUGAGAGUGCCCGGCAUUACCCGGUAGCAACACAGGACAAGGGUUGCGCUCGUUGCGGGACUUAACCCAACAUCUCACGACACGAGCUGACGACAGCCAUGCACCACCUGUGCACCGGCCCCGAAGGGCUGCCGUAUUUCUACGACAUUCCAGUGCAUGUCAAGCCUUGGUAAGGUUCUUCGCGUUGCGUCGAAUUGAACCACAUGCUCCGCUGCUUGUGCGGGCCCCCGUCAAUUCCUUUGAGUUUCAACCUUGCGGUCGUACUCCCCAGGCGGGGCACUUAAUGCGUUAGCUCCGGCACGGGAGGAGUCGACACCUCCCACACCUAGUGCCCAUCGUUUACGGCGUGGACUAC
rnacentral:misc_RNA from 1 species